rnacentral:misc_RNA from 1 species
CUUCCUCGUUCUUCUUUUCGACCCUUAAUUGUGUUGUAUAAGGCUACCUUUUUUUACCUCUUUGAGCAAGGGAAUGCUGCCUUUCCCCUGACUCAAUGUGUGAAUUCCCUUUCCAACCAAUGAGUUGUGUUGUAAAUAGAUUUUAUUGGGCAAAACAGUCGGUAAUUUAGGGAAGUGAAUAUCUUGUAGCUGCUCUAAGUUUAUGUGUUUUGUGUUUGUUUUUCAAUGUGUUGUGAUUUUGCGUUCAGCCGGUGGCUUUCUUCAAUUUUCUAGGGCUAAUGCUUAUUGUGGUAUGCUACCUGUGUUUGCAGCUCUUUGUUAGCCUAAGCUUGGUUUGGUUUUCCCUCUGAGUUCUCCCUGCAAGGAGGGUGCUUGAGAUGUCAUGAGGUGGGUACCUCAGGGGUCAUAUAAACGAGAUGCUUUUGAUAACCACCUGACCACCAUUCCUGCUAGCUUGAACUGCUCCAAGAAUGCCUUCAUGGUUCUCCAGGUUACAAUCAAUAAGCACAAAGUCUGCUUCACUAUAGUUGGUUAACAGAAGAUUUUGAGCUUCUCCAAUAACAAACUCAAUGUGACAGGCAUCCGAGCCUAGGACUUCUCUGGAUAUUUGCAAUUCUUUGUGAUCACGAAGGAUGCAAAUGACACGACCGCCAGUUUGGAGAGCUGCAGCCACUAGGGCUAGCAUGGUGGAAAUGGCAGAACCGGCACAUGCCACAACCAUUAGUUGUGCAUUAUUGCCUGCUGCUAAUGCUGAGAUGAACUCAGCUGCAUCUGGCUCUUUUGCCUUUUUGUCGUCGUUAAGCUCUCCUCAUCAACUCUUCUCACAAAUCUCUAAACUUGGACAUUUUGUUCGUUGUUUUGAGACCCUGGUGUUGUUUUUUGGAAGCCUAUGCUUAUGUGUGGUGAUAGUCUUUGAAAAUUUGCUAUGUUUCAUCUUGAUCGCAGGGCUUUGUACUCUUCUAGAUGGUGAAAGAAACUAGGUCACUGCCAAUCCUCUCGUGGCUUCUCUAUGUUAGCACUAGGUUUGUGAUCUGUUGGGUUGCUAUGCCUAAGCUUUAGUGAGGCUUUAUGUUUUUUGAGCCUAUUCUUUUGUGUUUUAGUUUUUAGAUUGAGCUUUGUAUUUGAGCUUUCUGUUAAAGGAUGGAUCUUGU